rnacentral:lncRNA from 1 species
CAGUGAGGAAACCUGUGCUCAUGGUGGAAGUUGUGCAUGAAAUCCAGAAAAAUGGAAUUUCCCCCAAAUAGCAAAUGCAGUAGAGGUGGCCUUGGCAGGGACCCCUGUGGCUUCCCUCCCGGUUUAUAACCCAACACCCUCUCCACGUGCUGUUUGCUUCAGCAGAACAACAUCCGUCUCCAGGCUCAGAACCCUCCAGUGACCAUGAUCGUGUCACUUCCUUUCCCCAGAUGGGCCAGCAACUUCACAGUCACAAGUUUUGCCAUCUGUGCAAAGACAAGUAUCAACACAUUCUCUCUCACUCCUGCUCCUGACACUUCCUAUACCUGAGAACAGCACUUAUGUGCGUGCCAUUUCUCCUUACCAGAAUGUAAGCACCUUAAAGUUAUCGCCUGGUUUAAUUAUCUUUUUCUUUCCUUUUUUUGCUCUUUUCUGGCCACACCCAUGGCAUAUGGAAAUUCCCAGGUGAGGGGUCGAAUCAGAGCUGUAGCCGCUGGCCUACACCACAGCCACAGCAACUGUGACCAAGCUGUGUCUGUGACCUACCACUGCUCAAAGCAACGCCAGAGUGUUAACCCACUGAGUGAGGCCAAGGAUCGAACCUGUAACUUCAUGAAAACUAUGUCAAGUUCUUAAUCCACUGACUACAGACCUGGGUCUGAAGGAACAGCCACAGCCCCAAACCUUGGGAGCCUCAGAUGAUUAUAGGACUGUACCCUUAGGAAAAAGGAAGAGUGUAUUUAAUAGAAAAUGAAGCAUCACCAUCUUUAAGUAUGAAGACUGCGUGUCCGAGAUCAUUUGGAUUAUGCAGUUUUAACGCUCCUCAUCUAACAUCAGUGCAUAUAGAUUUAGGGUCCACAAGCACACAAGAUGCAGGGGCUCAGAGAACUGCCUGAUGAACAUAGAUCAAGACCAUCAGUAAGUCUUCCCGAAGGAGGUUGUCCAGGUCCCAGCUUUAGGAAAGGAAAGAGCAAUGAGUAAAACUUACAUGGCAAAGAGCAACUUGCAGUUAUGAGACACGGACAAGAAUCACAGUCUGUGUGGACACUCUAGCAAUAAAACAAAAGGAAACAAAACAACGAAUCCUAGGUCUCCACACCUAAUUUAUGGUAGAAGGAAAGACGAGGGUGGAGGUCUAGAUCUGGAUGAUGAUGCUGGUGAUGGCUGGCGCAGAGGAAGGAAUGAAAGUGGAAGUAGCUGGAUGGGGAGAAACACUCAAAGCUCCCCAAGGGGAAAUGGUACUUGCAGCUUCAGAGGGAAAUGGGCCUUGCUUUGGCAAAUGUGAGCUCUUCCUAUGACCAAUUGAGUUGGCUUUUUUCCUCUCCCUCUGCAAACCCACCCUUACUCGCCCAGAGUAGACGUGUAAAGUAGGAAUACAAGGGACAUGUGACACUCAAGCUUACAUCUUCCAGGUCAAGGCGAGGAGACUGAGGCCCAAAGAGAUGUAGGGCAGCUGAAGUUUCUCCUCUUCCUUUUGGCUGAGCUUUGGUGGGAAGCUGAGUAGUCAGCCCCAAUGGAUGCUUACAGACCCUCAGUUAGAGCUGACUUGGGAAAUGCCCUUCUCUCCAGCUGAUAUGAAUUCUUAGAAACAUUGCAAUUAUAAGGCUUCAAAGGAUUUAAAAACCUGGCAUUUAGUAGCUUAUGCAGAGAACAAUUAUACACUUUUUUGAGGUCUUGAGGAUCUCUCAGUCUCUUUUGGUCUUCGUUUGCUUUCUAUUAAAAGAAACUCACUGCUUCUCAGGUCCAAGAAGGGGAAGUAAUAUGGACCUGUGGUAGUUAUGUUGGCAUACACUGUCCCUUUCAAUUUAUUUGAAUUCUCCCCAUAAUCAGGAGAGUAGAUAUUUUUAUCCCAAUUACACAAAUGAGGGAAAUGAUAUUCUCACAUAAAAGCUCAGGUCACACAAUCAGGAAGGGGGAGAGAUGCAAUGUGAAGUCUAGCGUAACUGAUCAUAAGGCUCUGUGAUCUGUCUGCAAGAAAACAUAUCUUCUGGGAGGAUGGAGUUUUGGGGAGAGGUCAGGACUUGGGAAGUAUUGAGGAAUAGUGGCUUCUGAGACUAGGAGAGACUGCCGAUAAAUGCAGUUAUAUCUAAAAAGCUAAGAGGGAGGAUCGUUAAGGCUAUUGAAUACAGCCAAUUAUUUGUAUUUCUGUGUCUUUCAUUUCAAUUAUCCACAUGAUUUCCGGGCCCCAGGACCAUGCACAAUUGAGUUUUAUUAGAUAGUGUGUUUUAUUGACUAGAAGCAGACAAUAUGGAUUUUAUGAGAUAGAAAUAGCACUGUGCCAGACC